UAGGGAAUCUUCGGCAAUGGGGGGAACCCUGACCGAGCAACGCCGCGUGAGUGAAGAAGGUUUUCGGAUCGUAAAGCUCUGUUGUUAAGGAAGAACGAGUGUGAGAAUGGAAAGUUCAUACUGUGACGGUACUUAACCAGAAAGGGACGGCUAACUACGUGCCAGCAGCCGCGGUAAUACGUAGGUCCCGAGCGUUGUCCGGAUUUAUUGGGCGUAAAGCGAGCGCAGGCGGUUAGAUAAGUCUGAAGUUAAAGGCGGUGGCUCAACCAUUGUAGGCUUUGGAAACUGUUUAACUUGAGUGCAGAAGGGGAGAGUGGAAUUCCAUGUGUAGCGGUGAAAUGCGUAGAUAUAUGGAGGAACGCCGGUGGCGAAAGCGGCUCUCUGGUCUGUAACUGACGCUGAGGCUCGAAAGCGUGGGGAGCGAACAGG
rnacentral:rRNA from 1 species